rnacentral:snRNA from 1 species
GAUGGAAACGUGAGUUUCCAAAG